CAUCAGAUAGGGCUUUGGGACAUGUGGAUGUGGAAGAGGAAAAGCAGUCCUUCUCUAAGAAGGAACUCCAUGCCAAAAUAAAUAGGGAUGCCAUACUUUUAUGCGAUGAGAAGUGAAAGAGUCCAAUUCUUUUAAAACUCUUAAUUUCUUCUUUUAUUUCUCCAUGAGUUUUUUAUUUCAUCAUGUCAUAUGAUGGCUCUUUGAAUUAUGGAUGUAGAAG
rnacentral:lncRNA from 1 species